ACAAACUAAAAAUUCAAAUCAAAAAAACAAUCAAUAGUAAAGCUGAAGGUAUUGACUUUGGGUCCUGGGAAGCUGUACUAUCACUAACUAAAAGUUCAUGUUGACAGAGCUCGACUUAGAGAUCGUCAUCAAGAAAAAGUCCAAAGUUCUAAGGAAGAUAUAAGUGAUGCUGAAUAAGAAGCAAGAAAUAUUAUAGAGAAAUUUGCUGCAGAUUAUGAAGCUUGUGGAUAUAGUUUAGUAUAUACCUAUUUUUCCCAAUAGCGUAGAACUGGUCACUCUAAUUGUAUCAGAA